AUUGCCAAGUUGCUCAUAAAGAAAGGCAAGUUAGAGAAGGCUUCCCUCUCUCUGCAGGGGUCAGUGUGCCUAGUGGUGAUUGGAAAGUGCCUCCACCAGAAGAGAGGCGGCAGAUCCAGCAGAGCUCUCCCUCCAGUCAUUCAGGUAGCCAUGCUGUUUUGAAGGAAGCCGUGGAGACUGCUGCCUGUCGAUCCUGGAAAACAGCUGCUCUGACGGGAACCAGCUCUCCCGGGGAAAGGGCACAGCUCCUGCCAUGACCGGAACGAGGCACGCUGCACUUUGGCCAUGUGGAAUUCAUCUAAAGGCAACAACUAAUGAUGUGUGCAUGGGCUUUCUACAAGGCAGUUUCUCCCUGGGUAUUUUUACUGCCAACGACUGAAAACAACCUCAUUGUCUAACAGCAGGAGACCGGCUCAAUACAUGAAGGCACCUUCAUGGAACAGCAUACUCUACAGUGUUCAAGCUGAUGUUUUAGGAAAUUAGUGAAAUCCAAAACUGUUCAGAAUACGUUUUAUGUUUUAAAAUGACCA